rnacentral:rRNA from 1 species
GACGAACGCUGGCGGCGUGCUUAACACAUGCAAGUCGAACGGUGAAGGGAUCAGCUUGCUGGUUCUGGAUGAGUGGCGAACGGGUGAGUAACACGUGAGUAACCUGCCCCCUUCUUCUGGAUAACCGCAUGAAAGUGUGGCUAAUACGGGAUAUUCUGGGUCUGUCGCAUGAUGGGUCUGGGAAAGAUAUUGUUUCGGUGGGGGAUGGGCUCGCGGCCUAUCAGCUUGUUGGUGGGGUGAUGGCCUACCAAGGCGGUGACGGGUAGCCGGCCUGAGAGGGUGGAUGGUCACACUGGGACUGAGACACGGCCCAGACUCCUACGGGAGGCAGCAGUGGGGAAUAUUGCACAAUGGGCGCAAGCCUGAUGCAGCGACGCCGCGUGAGGGAUGGAGGCCUUCGGGUUGUAAACCUCUUUCGCCAGUGAAGCAGGCCUGCUCCUUGUGGGUGGGUUGACGGUAGCUGGAUAAGAAGCGCCGGCUAACUACGUG